rnacentral:rRNA from 1 species
UUAGAUACCCUAUUAUUAAAAAUGUAAAUUUUAAAACUAAGUGAUUAAUAGUUAAGUUCUUUAAAGCUAAAUGAUUUGGCGGUAUUUUAAUCUUUUCAGAGGAACCUGUCCAGUAAUUGAUAUCCCACGAUUGAAUUAACUUAAAAUAGAAAUUUUUAUAUCGUUGUUAUUAAAUAUUUUAAAAGAAUUUAAUAUUUAUUUUUUUUUAUAAGAAAAUAAAUCAAAUCAAGGUGAAGUUAAUAUUUAAGAAUGAGAUGGGUUACAAUAAAUUUUAUUUGUUGGAAAAGUAAUUUUAAAAAUUUUUAGAAAUUGGAUUUGAAAGUAAUUAUAUAUAC